rnacentral:lncRNA from 1 species
UGGUUAUUGAUUUGGGAAUGUACGGCGUGCAUUGACUCAUGAACCGUUCAACCAAAGUUUUUUCAAAAUUAAAUAUGUUGUUUCUGAAGACAAAAUGGAGGUCAAGUUCAAUAAUGGUGAUUUUCACUUUUCCAAAUCAGGAGUUAUGGUUCUAGAAAGAUUGAAAAAUGGCGUUUCCAUUUAUGUCGUUGCAUUUACUCAUGAACUGUUCAAUCAAUGCUUAAUAAAUUUUGAUAUAUAUGUUGUUACUAAUGAAAACAUGUUUGUUAUGGUUCUG